AGGUGUUGGUGAGCCACCGCAAUGUAUGUCUUGUUCGUGCCUGUUUGCUGUUCAAGAUGCGAUAUACCACGCCCGUGAAGAGACUGGACACGACAAAGAUUACUUUCCGUUAGACGGUCCAGCUACAGUGGAAGUCACACAGUUGAAAUGUUUAGUUGAUCCUUCACAAUUUAUUAUAUAACUAUUGAUUGAACAAAAUUUCUAGAAUGAAGCAAUGAUUAUAUAUGUAGAAUUUAUAGAAUGAACUAGCAUAUAACAAAAUGUAGUAUAGAGCUGUACGGUUCCAGAAUUUUAUCUCAAUUCCGCUCUCGGUCUUUUUAGGGUGGAAGCACCACGAUUCUGUGUCGAUUUCAAAGCGUUUGCUCAGAAAAUUGUAAAUAACUUCAAAACAAACACCUUAUCACAAUUUAAAUGAAGCGAAAACAUUAUACUCGUAAUGUCUGCUCCCAAGGAUUUUUUUUUCCGAAAGUCUCAAUGUUUCCCGAGACGAAGUCGAUGGAAACAUUGAGAUUAGAGGUCGAAAGAAUGUUCAUUCAAGAAUCUUAUUUCAUGACAAAAACUCUAUAGUGUAAACGAGUUUAAAAUUAAAAGAACC